rnacentral:tRNA from 1 species
GCGGGUGUAGGACAAUGGUAGUCCAGAAGCUUCCCAAGCUUCAUACGAGGGUUCGAUUCCCUCCACCCGCU